AACUCAGGGCAGUUCCCGAGUCUCCAGCGACUUCCCUGAACUUAGGGUUUCGGUCCUGCAUCCAGGACACGAGGCCGUGUCCUCAUUCCUGCAGCCUCCUCCCCGGCCCCGCCCUCUGAGCCCGCUGACUUUCCUCUCUGAGCCCAGCACGCAAAGACCAGAGGCCACGGGCAGCCUGGAGCAGCGGCAGGGACGUGGGGUGCAGGUGAGGGAGCGUGGGGACCCGGAGCACAGGGAGUGUCCCAAGAACCAGUGAGGAGGACGCAGGACCCCUGACACUUGCCACCCUGUCCUGCUAGCCAUGCUGACCUUGACAUUCCCCCUUCUGGCUCUCCCCCUUCUCUGGACCAUCCUCCCGGCCACCUCCCUGAGUGUUCAGAGUGGAAAGCCGGGGGGACCCUGGGGCCGCGGGGACCACGAGGGUGUGAGUUGGCACAGCGGCCACGUGGGGACGCACAACCUCCCUUGUUUCUGUGUUGUUUUCUCCCUUGAGACACACGUGCUGAUGGGUCCGACAGAUGUGUGAGUAGCUUCAAGGGGCUCUCUGCCACCCUGAGCAGGGCUCCUGCGUCCCCGGGGGUGUCGUGUCCACACCACUCCUCCCUCGGCCCCGGGAGGGUCGGCGAACGUCCUG
rnacentral:lncRNA from 12 species